CUGACAAAAAGUAUAUAGUUACUGGUCUUCAAUGCUCAACAAAAUUUGCUGGCCUCAAACGGACAUAUAAAAAUAUAUAUGAGCAGAAUAAAAAAAGUGGUAACUCCCACAGUAGUUGGGCUUUUUAUUCAGUAAUGGAUUCAUUACUUGGUGAAAAGGCAUAUAUACAACCUCCAGCUGAAGCGUCCAGCGAAGGUCCAUCACAACCGAUACUAUCUACAUCAGGAUCUUUAUCUCCAGCGAGUUUCUCAGAGGAUUUACGAAGUGCGCCUAAAAAAAGACGAGUUGAGAA